rnacentral:rRNA from 1 species
AUUGAACGCUGGCGGCAUGCUUUACACAUGCAAGUCGAACGGUAACAGGCCGCAAGGUGCUGACGAGUGGCGAACGGGCGAGUAAUGCAUCGGAACGUGCCCAGUCGUGGGGGAUAACGCAGCGAAAGCUGCGCUAAUACCGCAUACGAUCUAUGGAUGAAAGCGGGGGACCGUAAGGCCUCGCGCGAUUGGAGCGGCCGAUGUCAGAUUAGGUAGUUGGUGGGGUAAAGGCUCACCAAGCCAACGAUCUGUAGCUGGUCUGAGAGGACGACCAGCCACACUGGGACUGGGACACGGCCCAGACUCCUACGGGAGGCAGCAGUGGGGAAUUUUGGACAAUGGGCGCAAGCCUGAUCCAGCAAUGCCGCGUGCAGGAAGAAGGCCUUCGGGUUGUAAACUGCUUUUGUACGGAACGAAACGGUCCUGGUUAAUACCUGGGGCUAAUGACGGUACCGUAAGAAUAAGCACCGGCUAACUACGUGCCAGCCGCCGCCGUAACAC